UUAAAAUUGUAAAUAAAAAAACUCCGGCGCAAAUGGGUUAAUGUAAUCGGAGUGGUAUUGGAAAAAAAGUGGUGGGUCUUUACAAAAUUGGAACUUAAGACGGAAUUUUAUACAACUUAUGCAGGUACGCCCAUUAUCACCUUCUCUUCCACUAAAUAAUAUAAAAUAAGUAAAUGGACAGUAACAGUAAAAUUAUUGCAGGUCUGAAUUUUGUUGGUGCAUAAAGGUUGUUUAUUUUAUAACUACAGAUCAAGUUCCCGGUAAUAAUAUUAUUCUUCGCGUAGCCGCAACUAAAGCUUCAACAGGAUCAGGACAAGAUUUUAUGAGAUGCACUUGCAAAAAGUCAUGUGGGACAAAUCGCUGCCUAUAUGCAUUUGUGGAAGAUAUCAAACGACGAAACGUCAACGGAUUUAUUACUACGAUUAUAAACAAUGCAAUUUUCUAUAUGGGUAAAUUGAAAAAUAAAAAAUGUACCAAAAAUCAAUAUUAUAAGCAAUUCAAAAUUCAAAAUAUUAAUUCUAGCUCAAUAGUCAAAUGAACUACGUCAUGAAGUGACUUCUUAAUAAAAGAUCAAAUCUGAGACUGAUAAUUCAUUUCUACAAAUCAAAAUAAAGGAUGUUUAGAGCAAUAUUAUGAUGCCAAUAAUUGCCUGUUCUUGAAGCUAAAAAAAAAACAAGAAAAGAUGACGAAAAACAAUCCAACAAAUUGCAUUCAUGCUGACAAUAUUUAAAUAACUUUUAAUUCAAGUUUAAUUAAUAACACAAUUUGAAAUUACUGAAAUGUACUGUAAUUAAAUAUAUGUUAUAUAAUAUACUUAUCAUUUUUUUCAUCCUGUUAAACCCAGGAACAAGGAGAUAUUUGUUUAA